rnacentral:rRNA from 1 species
UUCCACCCUAAGAAAUAACUAAUUUAACAAAUUUUUUCUAAAAUUAACUAUCCUCUUAUAUCUCCCUUUAACUUCUAGCUAAUAUAAUUUAUUUCUAUCCUACGUAUAACCGCGGCUGCUGGCACGACUUUAGCCGACCAUAAAUCAAAUUACUAAUUCCAAACUUCCUUGAUUAAUUAAAACCAAAUACUGCGAAUAAUAAUCACACCUUUUAGAUCUUGUAAUCACACACAAAAAUUUACAUAUAAAAUAUCCAAAUAAUAAAUCUACAAGCAAGAAUAAAACUU